CUUGGUAACCAUACCCUAUUGAAAACAUUGGUUCUUGCCUGAUCACCAAAGUUAGGCAAUGUUUGGCUUAGUUAAUACUUACAUGGGUGACUGCCUGGAAAUACUAAGUGUUGCAAGCU
rnacentral:rRNA from 1 species